UUACUCGUUAGCCUGUAAGACAAAUUUAAGGGCUCACAACACCCGGCAUGUUAUUAAAGUAGUCGGCUCUGUUGCUGCUUGCUUUCUGUUCUGGUUUCAGUAAAAAAACUCUGUUAGAUUUCAUUAACAGUAGUUUUAUAUUACAAAUAGGCUAACUUUAAAUGGACAUACGUCGAUUUGCCUUACUUUACCCUCAAAGCUCACCUGCUGGUCGGUUUCUGAGGCACGUUCGCGGGCCACCGCCGUCUCCCGGUCCUCAAGUACCCGAUGUAACAGAGCCCAACACUGGCCUAGAGUGGUUUGAAAUGACCGCGUCAAGUUCAGACCGUGAAGUCCCCAGGUCGCCUCUGGUGUUAGCUAACAUCCAGAGCUCCCCUCUCUACAACUUUGCAGUCCCAUCCACCCCAGUGCAGGAUGAACUGACGUUUCCUCUCAGCCUGAAGGAGGAGUCCUGGAGACCAGACAGCAACAGUACGGUAUCACCAGUGCAAACUGUGCCUACCUUUGGAGAGCAAGAGCCUUUUUGGGAAAGACAUCACUCUUUUAAAAGUGGACCUAAAGCCAGCCGAGAAAUGACAAAGAGAAAACGGAGUAGAGGAGCGAAAGACAGCGUCUUGAAAUUGCAAAGUAAAGACACAAACUGAGCCUAGAAGCUUGAAAGCUGUAAGUCACAUUUCGUUCAUUUGCUUAGGCCUAUGUCUUUUAACCAGCAUCAAUGCAGACUGUUUGUAAAAUGUAUUCGUACUCCAUCAGUAAGUCCUUAAAUAUAUGUUUAUGUGUUCGUAUUUAUUUACAUCUUCACUAUGUUUUGUGAAUGACUUUGCAUCACUGUUUUUGUUAGAUGUAUAUUAAUAAUCACUAUUAUUUUGUCAGUUAUUUAAUACAAUGAGGUACUUCUUAAUAAGACCCUGUAGGUGUCACUGUUAUACUUGUUAUCUGGCACUGGGGAGCCGCUGUAGCUGCUAUUGUUUGUGUAAGUUGGAGAAGAAAUUGAUAUCAUUGUUAGGCAGACCGAGGCGCUGCAUUUUGGCAAAGGGACAACGUACAUUUCACAGAUCAAAUAAAUGUGAUUUAAAGAUGAA